UACGGGAGGCAGCAGUGGGGAAUAUUGCACAAUGGGCGAAAGCCUGAUGCAGCUAUGCCGCGUGUAUGAAGAAGGCCUUAGGGUUGUAAAGUACUUUCAUCGGGGAGGAAAAACAAAACUAAUAAUUUUAUUUCUUGACGUUACCCGAAAAAGAAGCACCGGCUAACUCCGUGCCAGCAGCCGCGGUAAUACGGAGGGUGCUAGCGUUAAUCAGAAUUACUGGGCGUAAAGAGCACGUAGGUGGUUUUUUUAAGUCAGAUGUGAAAUCCCUGGGCUUAACCUAGGAACUGCAUUUUGAAACUGAAAUACUAGAGUAUCGUAGAGGGAGGUAGAAUUCUAGGUGUAGCGGUGAAAUGCGUAGAUAUCUGGAGGAAUACCUGUGGCGAAAGCGGCUUCCUAAACGGAAUACUGACACUGAGGUGCGAAAGCGUGGGGAGCAAACAGGGAUUAGAUACC
rnacentral:rRNA from 1 species